UGGGGAAUUUUGGACAAUGGGCGAAAGCCUGAUCCAGCAAUGCCGCGUGUGUGAAGAAGGCCUUCGGGUUGUAAAGCACUUUUGUCCGGAAAGAAAUCCUUGGCUCUAAUACAGUCGGGGGAUGACGGUACCGGAAGAAUAAGCACCGGCUAACUACGUGCCAGCAGCCGCGGUAAUACGUAGGGUGCAAGCGUUAAUCGGAAUUACUGGGCGUAAAGCGUGCGCAGGCGGUUUGCUAAGACCGAUGUGAAAUCCCCGGGCUCAACCUGGGAACUGCAUUGGUGACUGGCAGGCUAGAGUAUGGCAGAGGGGGGUAGAAUUCCACGUGUAGCAGUGAAAUGCGUAGAGAUGUGGAGGAAUACCGAUGGCGAAGGCAGCCCCCUGGGCCAAUACUGACGCUCAUGCACGAAAGCGUGGGGAGCAAACAGGAUUAGAUACCCUGGUAGUCCACGCCCUAAACGAUGUCAACUAGUUGUUGGGGAUUCAUUCCUUAGUAACGCAGCUAACGCGUGAAGUUGACCGCCUGGGGAGUACGGUCGCAAGAUUAAAACUCAAAUGAAUUGACGGGGUCAUAGCUGUUUCCU
rnacentral:rRNA from 1 species